AUUGAACGCUGGCGGCAGGCCUAACACAUGCAAGUAGAACGAGUGGCGGACGGGUGAGUAAUGGCUGGGACACUGCACGAUGGAGGGGGAUAACUACUGGAAACGGUAGCUAAUACCGCAUACCAUCAGACGUGCCCAGAUGGGAUUAGCUAGUAGGUGGGGUAACGGCUAACCAAGGCGACGGUCCCUAGCUGGUCUGAGAGGAUGACCAGCCACACUGGAACUGAGACACGGUCCAUACGCCUACGGGAGGCAGCAGUGGGGAAUAUUGCACAAUGGGCGAAAGCCUGAUGCAGCCAUGCCGCGUGUAUGAAGAAGGUCUUCGGGUUGUAAAGUACUUUCAGCGAGGAGGCGUUACUCGCAGAAGAAGCAUCGGCUAACUCCGUGCCAGCAGCCGCGGUAAUAC
rnacentral:rRNA from 1 species